GUCCUUGAAAAGUGCUUGAAUUUAGAUUUGAGAUUUCUGUUUGAACCAUGAGACAUCUAUAUAUUCAGCAAGGAACGAGAGCAAAUCAAGGAACAAUCGAAACGAUUCAUUCAGAAGUGUUUCUGCUGUAAAUAGUUAGGACAGUAGUAGCGUUACGGACUGUCCUCAGCGCACAAUUUAUUUAUGUGGUGCGCCUCAGACGCGAAAUCCGCCCAUUAUUGAAAACAAGUUGCUAAAAGUAAACACAUCCGGUUUUGUUACGAGCACUUUGCACUCCGAGCCAAAAGGGCAUUGCAUUGAAUUGAGACUAAAGAAGGCUUGAAAACAUGACCCCAGUUUUGUUGUAUGGUCCAGUAGCUCUUCGACUCUCAACCUGAAGUUAAUCAGAACUCAAACUCGGCCCUUAACAAUAUCCACGAGGCCAGCAUAUCAGCUCAGCUUCUGAGCUUCAGCAAACUCUAUAAGCCGCCAAGAUAAAAACAUCGUUGAAGUGAAAGUCGAUGACAAUCCUGACCCCUUCGCUUAAGUAAUUCAGCACAAAAACGUCUUGCGUCAGAGUAGCAAGCCUCCAAACAUCUUCUCCCAUGUUGGCUUCAUCAACACUUCUUACAGCGGAGCCUUGACGAGUUCGACUUCCAUCCCAGCAUCGAUGUUGCUUAGCAACAAUUCAAUGCUGGGAAUUGACAAAUUGUUCUAGACGAGUCGCUUACACAGAAACAAUCUGAUCCAACAGAUAGAGCAGGUGUUGCGUGACUUGUCCUUUAUUGCGACUGACCUCGAUAAGUUGCUCUCGAAUAAUGUUAACCUUAUGCCAGUAUGGGAUUGACGCCAUUUAACAACAGUUGUUGUUAAGAAUUCCCGGGUUUGAGGUGGCAACUUUGGCGUCGGGACUUGCUCCAUCUCUGUCUAUGGCCCAGUCAAAGCAGCAGCAGCAGCAGCAGCAGCAAUAAGAACAACAAGUAGUAUCUGAGCGGUGCUCUGGUGUACGGGGCUUCAUAGCCUGUUCCUCCUGGUCCAGGACCUUUGGACAAAUGUUCAAAUAGUACUACCCACAGGAUGAAGCCACUCUGAAUCCGGGGCUCCAUACUUUCUUGGCCAGGGGCCAAGACUACCUCGUCAAUAAGCAGAGCACCAGCAUUGAUAUCGAGUUGGCCCAGCAACCGCACCAGUCCCGCCUGCAGGAGCCCCAGUCCAGAACGACCCUUCCCCUCCCUUGACUUCUAGCUCCUCUCCCUUGACCGCCUGCCACAAAAAGUCAGCAUCGUUGAACAACUCCGUUCUGCAGCAAAUUCUGAGCAUGAUUCUGUUCUGAACAAACGCAAUGCCCACGUCACGUUUUCCAAACAUAAGCCUGGGUAGUUUUGUUAAGCUAGAGUUCCGCGUGGGCCUGAAAGGGACGAGUGUUACAGACACAAACAGUUAUAGCAGUAGUUAUGGUAACGCUAACAGUCAGUUGUUGCUGUUGGACAUCACAACAAAUAUCAUGAAGAAUAAAAAUUUCAAUAAGUUGUUCCAAUCUUUAUGGGACAAACAGAAAUUGAACGGAAGAAAAUCAAGGAACAAUAAAAGCGUAAGCUUUCGUAGUGGGAUACAUCUGCUGUUGAUAGUUUGGACAACAGUAGGGUUGCGGACUGCCCCAGAUUGUCCUCUCAGCGGCCAAAAUAUCAUAAUAGAACAGACUUUUGGCAAUGUUACUGACACAGAAAGGCACUAAUGACUUGGUUGUCAAUACCCAGAGCACGAUACAUCCAUGCUGACAAAGAAAGGCAGUAAUGACUUGGUUGUGAACACCCAGAGCGCCAUACAUCCAUGCUGACACAGUAAGGCAGUAAUGACUUGGUUGUGAACACCCAGAGCACAAUACAUCCAUGCUGACACAGAAAGGCAGUAAUGACUUGGUUGUGAACACCCAGAGCACAAUACAUCCAUGCUGACACAGAAAGGCAAUAUGACUUGGCUGUGAACACAGAACACAAUACACCCAUGCUGACACAGAAAGGCAGUAAUGACUUGGUUGUGAACACCCAGAGCAAGAUAUUUCCAUGCUGACACAGAAAGGCAGUAAUGACUAUGCUGUGAACACCUUGAGCAAGAUAUAUCCUUGCUAACACAGAAAGGCAGUAAUGACUAUGCUGUGAACACCCGGAGCAUAAUACAUCCAUGCUGACACAGAAAGUUAGUAAUGACUAUGCUGUAUACACCCGGAACACAAUACAUCCAUGCUGACACAGAAAGGCAGUAAUGACUUGGUUGUGAACACCCAGAGCACAAUACAUCCAUGCUGACAAAGAAAGGCAGUAAUGACUUUGCUAUGAACACAUAACACGAUACACCCAUGCUGACACAGAAAGGCAGUAAUGAUUUGGCUGUGAACAUAGAGCACAAUACAUCCAUGCUGAAACAGAAAGGCAGUCAUGACUAUGCUGUGAACACCCAGAGCACGAUAUAUCCACGCAUACGCAGAAAGGCAGUAAUGACUAUGCUGUGAACACCCAGAGCAAGAUAUAUCCAUGCUGACACAGAAAGGCAGUAAUGGCUAUGCUGUGAACUCCCAGAGCAAGAUAUAUGGAUGCUGACACAGAAAGGCAGUAAUAACUAUGCUGUGAACACUCAGAGCACAAUACAUUCAUGGUGACACAGAAAGGCAGUAAUGACUUGGUUGUGAACACCCAGAGCAAGAUAUAUCCAUGCUGACACAGAAAGGCAGUAAUGACUUGGCUGUGAACACAGAACACGAUGCACCCAUGCUGACACAGAAAGGCAGAUAUGACUUGGCUGUGAACACAGAGCACAAUACAUCCAUGCUGACACAGAAAGGCAGUUAUGACUUGGUUGUGAACACAGAGCACAAUACAUCCUUGUUGACAUAGAAAGGCAGUAAUGACUUUGCUGUGAACUCAGAGCACGAUACAUCCAUGCUGAGACAGAAAGGCAGUAAUGACUUGGAUGUAAACACCCAGAGCACAAUACAUCCAUGCUGACACAGAAAGGCAGUAAUGACUUUGUUGUAAACACUAAGAGAUCCAUACAUCCAUGGGGUGUGCAACAGACGCAAAUUACGCCCACUAUUUUUAACAAGGUGCUUAAAGUGAACACGUCUAGUUUCUGUUAUGAGCACUUAGCACUC